ensembl:miRNA
GCCUCAGUUGCUCCAUCUGUGCCCUGGGUAGGAACAUCCUGGACCCCCUUGGGUCUGAUGGGGUAGCCGAUGC